CUCCGUAGGGUGAACCUGCGGAGGGAUCAUUACACAAAUAUGAAGGCGGGCUGGAACCUCUCGGGGUUACAGCCUUGCUGAAUUAUUCACCCUUGUCUUUUGCGUACUUCUUGUUUCCUUGGUGGGUUCGCCCACCACUAGGACAAACAUAAACCUUUUGUAAUUGCAAUCAGCGUCAGUAACAAAUUAAUAAUUACAACUUUCAACAACGGAUCUCUUGGUUCUGGCAUCGAUGAAGAACGCAGCGAAAUGCGAUAAGUAGUGUGAAUUGCAGAAUUCAGUGAAUCAUCGAAUCUUUGAACGCACAUUGCGCCCUUUGGUAUUCCAAAGGGCAUGCCUGUUCGAGCGUCAUUUGUACCCUCAAGCUUUGCUUGGUGUUGGGCGUCUUGUCUCUAGCUUUGCUGGAGACUCGCCUUAAAGUAAUUGGCAGCCGGCCUACUGGUUUCGGAGCGCAGCACAAGUCGCACUCUCUAUCAGCAAAGGUCUAGCAUCCAUUAAGCCUUUUUUUCAACUUUUGACCUCGGAUCAGGUAGSGAURCCCGYUKAACUUAAGCAUAUCAAUAAGCGGAGGAA
rnacentral:rRNA from 1 species